AGGAUGAACGCUGGCGGCGUGCCUAACACAUGCAAGUCGAACGUCCUGUCUCGCAAGAGGCAGGGAGUGGCGGACGGGUGAGUACCACGUGGGUUAUCUACCGUGAGGUGAGGAAUACCGGCGAGAAAUCGCCGACAAGACCGCAUAGCCUCGGUGCAAGCCGAGGAAAGCUUUCUCGAGAGAGGGAGCGCCACACGAGGAGCCUGCGCCCGAUUAGCUAGCUGGUGGAGUAACGGUUCACCAGGGCGACGAUCGGUAGCUGGUCUGAGAGGACGAUCAGCCACACUGGGAUUGAGAACGGCCCAGACUCCUACGGGGGGCAGCAGUGAGGAAUUUUCGUCAAUGGGGGCAACCCUGAACGAGCAACGCCGCGUGCAGGAAGAAGGUUUUCGGAUCGUAAACUGCUUUUCUCGGGGUAAGAGAACGGACGGUACCCGAGGAAUCAGCCCGGCUAACUACGCGCCAGCAGCCGCGGUAA
rnacentral:rRNA from 1 species